GAUAAACCUGAUAAGAAGUUAAAAGUAUCAGAUACCUUUUAAUGGACUUUAGGCACGUCAUAUUUCUGUGGUUUCUCACAAAACGUGUCACUUGGCCCUAAGAUGCAUCGGCCGUUGUAUAGACGUAGGAAUUCAGUCCAGCUCUGGGGAUUUGGCUUUGUUUCUUAACCCGCAGAAGGCCAUUGCAAUGAGAAGUAAAAGAGCUGCUGUAAAGCCUGGAGAGUGACAUGAUUCCUGUGAACAGAUGUAAAAAAAUUUAGAGAUAUUUAUAAAUGGAAAGCAUUAUACACAUAAAAUGCAUUAUAAACAGGAUUGUGUUUGACUAUCAUCAAGGCACCUUCCAUUUAAGUGAGAAGACAAUCCCAUUUGAGGAGUUUCCAGUUCAGGCCAUCAUUCCUACAGGUAUUCCCACUGAAGCUGGUGUCAGAGUUAGAUUUAAGUCUUUAGAAGAUCACAUGCUUGAUAAGAAAUAAUAGGCAAUUGCUGUUC
rnacentral:lncRNA from 13 species